AGGCCCGGCCGCCGCGGCGCGCGCCCGGUGGCCGUUGGCGCUCGCGCCGCGUCUUUCUUCUCGGCAGAGACAGAUAAUCUCACUUCCAGAGAAAUGACUUGGAGAAAAAAAAGUGUUGGUCUUUUUGCUCUUUUGUAAUUAAAUCCGGAUGUACCUCAAAAGACUUAAGACUGUGGUGAUAAGAUGCUUUCCUCAGCAGAAAGGAGGGAAAAAAAACAACUGGAACUCAAAGCUUGAAAUUCUGUGGCAAAACAUGAGAUGUCCAGGAUUGGAGGUUGAAAAGAUUUCACUACAGUGUUCUGCAAUAGUUGGAGCAGAUAACUUUCAGUGUAGCCACAGCCAUGGACUCCAGAUUUCCAGAUUUUCAAGACCUGGACCUGGAACCCGAAAGAGCUUGUCACGAUGCGGCAGGAACACUGGAGGUAGAUUUUUUUUUAUUUUUGAAUUUUGGGACUGUUGACCUUGCUGUGAGAAAAGAGACAACGACUGAGCAAGCACUACCACCAGCACUGUUACUGGGAAUUAGAAGACCUGAGUUUCUGUCCAGACCCUCAGUGCAAACUGAGGAUGCUCCAUCCAAAGUGAAUUAUGUCCUGUGCCUCCUGAUUGCUGAGUGUUCACCUGGACCUUCUGACUACCUUCCCUGUGCUAUUCCAUCAGCCUACAGACCUGGUACCUGGAUUUUUGCCCGAGAUGAUUCCUACCACCUUACUACUGACGAAGACACCCAUUCCAGUGGACCACUGUGACCCAGGAGGCAUUCAGCCAUCAUGAUGUGGCCUUUACCUCCACUCCUGUCUUGUUCUACCCAGAUUCAGCACAGCCCUUUAUAGUGAAGUCAGAGUCCUCAAGCCAAAUAGCUAAAGCUGUUUUAUCACAACAAAGGCCUAGUUUGUUCCAUGAGUGUGCAUUUCAUUUCUUCAGUUAAAGCCUUCAGAGACACACAAUAAAUUUGGACCAGGGGAUUUUUUAGUUAUUAAUGCUCUCUGAAGAAAGGCAACAUCUUUUUGAGAGCAGCAUUGGACCACACCCCACAAUCUCAAAUGAUUGAAAUUCAUGAACAUCUAGGAUCCCGUGAAGGUCACUGGACCCUGUUUUUUCUACUUCAAAUCCUGUAGUAGCCUACUGAAUGAGAAAACAUAUUCUGACCCAUUGGGAUCAAAUCAAAGGCACAGUGAACUCCUCAUAGCAUCUUCUUUGGAAUUACUCAGGAACCAGAACUUUUUACACAAAUGUAAGAAAUUCUACCAAGGAGUCCCCUUACCUAACAGCAUCUCACAAGGCUGCACCAGAUUCCAGAAAAGGCUUCUCUUGAUACAUCAAGGUAGAACCUCUAUGCAUUUUGUGACCGACUUAUUCUUAGAUCAUUGGUUUUCCAAAGGCUUUGUGGCCAUGAAGCCCUUUGAGUGAAAACUGUGCAGAAGCCCAGAGUAAAAGUGAAGCUGCUCUGGAUGAAGUAGUGAAGCAAGAGUAGGGGCCUGAAUCCUGCUACAACUAUCUUCCUUUACCACCGUGGUGACACCUAAGGGGACUUCCUUACAACACCUUGAACUCUUCCGAACACAGUUUGAAAACCACUGCCCCAGACAGCAAUAUGUUUGACCUGAAUGGCAUUCCAAUCUUUUCUGUACCUCCACUCAGCACAGUUCAUGUUCAGUAGAUGCUGAACAUUCUUAGAAAUACUGUGUGUGAACUUAGAAAAGUGCAAGAAGACAGGCAUGUCUUUGACCCCAGGAAUGAUCAUUUGCUGAAGAUGGUGUCAAGUGAACCUAGAUUAACAGCCCUCCACUCCAGAUGGAUAUCCAGUGAUUCCUAGAAUGGGAUAUAGCCAGAGAACAAUUCUAUGCACCCUACACUGACAGACUCCCUUAAGCAACACCAGAUGCUCUACUGGUACUUGAAGUACAUGACUUUGAAGUCUUGACCCUCCAUGAAUACCUGAAUUAUCAGCAAGCGGGUUUUGAAGCUGGUGCCUCAUUGAGGCCAUAUUAGAGCAACUUGUACAUUUGACCUCUUGUUAUCAGCCAUGGUACUCUACUUCGUGUGCAAGAGAUAACUAUGAAAGCCAAAUUCAAAUACUGGCAACAUUUCCUAAAGGGGCUCAAUAUCUAUCAUUCGUCUUCUUUUCCAAACUACACAUCACUGUAUGACUCAACCAGUAGCAGUUAUAUUGCCCCUUGGUUUUUAUUCAGUUUAACUACUGUUUCCAAGAUAAAUGAGCUAAUAAGCUUUAAAAAAAAAAAAAAAAAAGGCUGAAUUCUUUUUUCUUCAUCACUGGCAUAUCUGCCUAUUCUCCAGAAUUAUUAUGACUAUUCAGCUCACUUUAACAGUUGAACUUCAAGCGACAAUCUUUGAACACCCCUUCUCAUGUGAUUUAAAAUGAAACCAUUUGGAAAAGUUUCUUCUAGCCAGUAAUAGAUUUUUUUUUUAAUUGCUCUGCCUUGUGCCGAGAGAUGUUCUUUUAAGAUGAAUCUUUUGAUGUCUGAUACCACCAAAUAUAGGUGGUAGGGAGAGUUGGAGGCUGGCCCUUUGAGCAGGCCAUUAGCUUACUUGCUGGGCAUUUCCGAUAGCUUAUUGCCUACCUUUUUGCUGGAAACAAACUGAUUUGAAAAACAAAAUCUAUGAAGACUGCAGCUAAGGAUUUUAUCGGUAGACUUAAGAGCUUUUGUCCUUGUGGAUAUUUUAGUGGAACCACAUCAGUCUCAAUACUGUCAUUUUACACUGACUCAGAGCAGCUGACUUCAUUCCUUGCCAUGAUAUAUAUUUAAGGCAGGCAUUGUAACAGACAUAAAGACAACUUAUCUGUUUCAGCAGGAAGGAUUCAGUUUAUGAACUCUCAGACCAGAUCAUGUUGAACAAGGAGACUUUGAUGUGUGUCAUGAGAAAACUCAUUCUUUACUUCCCAGUCAAUUUAAAGGCCAGCUAUCCUGAGCUACUCGAAUGAAUGCACUGGUUAAACAUUGGAAAUAGUUUGUUUAUAUCCUUGUCUCUCUCUAGGCCAAUUGUGAUUACAUGACUCGACUCUACAUCUCGUCAAACAAGGCCUAGGUCUGGUUGCUGUAGACUGCUCGCCCUCAACAAAUAAAAUCUGGUUGACUAGCCUCCUUGUAUAUACAACUAUUAUUUGUUAAGAAGAAAUUAUCGUCAAUUUUCUACUACCUUCCAAUUGUCAGCUCUUUUUUUCCUCUCUGGUUUUUCCUAUACUUUACAGAAAAAGACAUUGAUCUAUACUGCCAUUCCCUCUAAUCCUGCCAUACUCAGUCAAAAGGAAUGACUUAAGAUGAAGAUGAUCAUCUGCUCGAGUCUAAAAUAUACAUUGUAUAUAAGAAUUGGUGAUUAGAAAAGCAAAAAACCUAAAACUUAAAUCUAGGAGUCUGUAUACUGUCUCCAUGUCUCCAUGCCUCAGAUCUCAUCUAAAUCUUUGAACAGCACCAUUCAACCAAUCUGAGGCCUUGACUUGCUUGUAAGAUGAUUCUCAGAGAUCGGCUGAGUUAAAAAAGAUGACGACUUGAUUACCAAAGAAAGUAGGGCCAACUUUGACAAAUCUGGCUCUGCUGACCCUGUCACUCCCAGAUGUAGCAUAGACUCCUAAACAGAACCUCAAGUCUGAUUGAGGAUAAGGCCUUCUCCUGAGCUGAAAGUUCUUUGGCAGAUGAGCAAGAAACUGAAAGCUGAUGUACCUGACUGGCUCUGUAAGAUCAGAAAACUGUAUCCAGAAUAAGCCCUAUGGAUUAACCCCUGAGUACCCAGAGUAAAAACUAAUUUACAGAACUUCCUUAUUGAUCUGCUGGUUCUUCCAGAUCAUAUUCUGGCUAUUGGUAUGGCUGGCCUUUCUGAAGGUACCCUGCUUGUCUAUUUUCCUGACUCAGCUCUUGCCUGCCUUUUUCACAUGUUGCUGCAAUUAGACUCACCGUGAGGACUACAGUCAAUUUCAGUCUAUCUUGUGCCCAAUACAACAAGGAUUUUUAAUAGUAACAACCCACACCUCACCCACUAGGACUCAAUGUUCACAACAGGAAGGACCAUUGCUGCAUACUCCUUGACCAGCAACUUUUUUGAAGAUAUUUUUAAGUGCAGAGUAGGCCUCUAUUCCUGUAUGUAAUUGUUCAUUUUCAGCACCUGGAACCUCAUCUAUCGGGUCUGGAAGGAAUACAGCAGUUCGAAAGCCGCGUCCAUUUCUCUCCUUCAGUAGUGCAGAAAUGAGUCCGAUUCACCAGUACACACAGAACUGUACCAGUUCAACCUAGCAAAAGAAGAAAAGUUUCCACUGUACUUAAAAUUUACAGCUGACUCAAAUUGCCUCACAGAAUUAUUUGAUGUAGAAGGCUAGUUGUCUUACUUCAGAUCAGCAGGACAGUUGGGCUCUCAGACUCAUGACCACUGAGUUUGCUUGUGUUGAAACUGUGGUUUCAUCCAACAUAUGCUAUUGGACAUGAUUAUUAUUCCAUUCAAAUGGAUUACAGACUUCUUGAGGACAGGACAAACUUAUCUCUCAUGGUGUUUUUUUAGAAUACUUUUAUAACCAAGGAAGAAACCAUGCCAGCUGUUACCAUUCAACUUCUUAAGCAGAGAUUAAGCUUUUUCAUAUCUGUUCUUAUCCUGGACAUCAGUAGUUUUUAAUUGCCCAGCAUCCGUUCCAUCUUGUAACAACUCCCUGAUGUUUCUUAAAACCACCUCUUCCUAUUUUCAGUCUGUGGUUUGGACAGUCUGACCCAACCUUGAGCUUUGUGGGUGAACAUGUAAUUCAGACCUCAUCAAUCAGCAAAUCCAUCUGAACUGUGGAGGAGAAGCUCUCUUUACUGAGGGUGCUUUAGCUUUGUAGGAUGAAAACCUCAAACUAACAGGGCCUACCAUGUAGAGAAUGAAGCCAGUGCAGGGGAAAGCAGAGCCAAAAUAUGGAGAGACUUGAAUCCUGAUGACAGCGUUUGUGCCCCUGGAUCCAACCGUGCCUGAAGCUAGAAUAUCCCCUGGACUUUUCAGUUAUGUGAACCAAUAAAUACCCUUUUUUGCUUAAGUU
rnacentral:lncRNA from 1 species